AUUGAACGCUGGCGGCGUGCCUAACACAUGCUAAGUCGAGCGGCAGCGACGGGAGCAAUCCUGGCGGCGAGCGGCGGACGGGUGAGUAAUGCUUGGGGAAUCUGCCUGUUAGUGGGGGACAACCCGGGGAAACUCGGGCUAAUACCGCAUACGCACUACGGUGGAAAGCCGGGGACCGCAAGGCCUGGCGCUAACAGAUGAGCCCAAGUCGGAUUAGCUAGUUGGUAGGAACGGCCUACCAAGGCGACGAUCCGUAACUGGUCUGAGAGGACGACCAGUCACACCGGAACUGAGACACGGCCCAGACUCCUACGGGAGGCAGCAGUGGGGAAUCCUGCGCAAUGGGCGAAAGCCUGACGCAGCGACGCCGCGUGAGGGAUGACGGCCUCGGUGUAAC
rnacentral:rRNA from 1 species